CUGACUGACCGAUAGUGAACCAGUACCGUGAGGGAAAGGCGAAAAGAACCCCUGUGAGGGGAGUGAAAUAGAACCUGAAACCGUGUACGUACAAGCAGUAGGAGCAGGCUUGUCCUGUGACUGCGUACCUUUUGUAUAAUGGGUCAGCGACUUAUAUUCAGUGGCAAGGUUAACCAUCUAGGGGAGCCGUAGGGAAACCGAGUCUUAACUGGGCGUUCAG
rnacentral:rRNA from 1 species